GCGGCUGUGGCUCAGGAGGUAGAGUGGGUUGUUCACUAAUCAGAAGGUCAGUGGUUCAAUUCCUGGCUGCA